UACGUAGGCAGCAAGCGUUGUUCGGAGUUACUGGGCGUAAAGGGUGUGUAGGCGGUUCUUUAAGUUUGGUGUGAAAUCUCCCGGCUCAACUGGGAGGGUGCGCCGAAUACUGAGGGACUAGAGUACGGGAGAGGAAAGUGGAAUUCCUGGUGUAGCGGUGAAAUGCGUAGAUAUCAGGAGGAACACCGGUGGUGUAGACGGCUUUCUGGACCGUAACUGACGCUGGAGAACACGAAAGCGUGGGUAGCAAACAGG
rnacentral:rRNA from 1 species